UACAUUUGUUUGUGUACUGUUUUGAUGAAGUCUGUUGUGACUUAUUUAACCUCUCUCAGUUUCACAGGUUAAAGACUUUUUGAAGUAAAGAGGAGCAUCUCAUCUGAACCUGAUGUCUAUCAUGGAUAUUUAACUGCAGUUCUGUGAGUAUCCCAACUUAACCAUGAAGCAUAACUGCAAACUGUAAGUCAUUAAUUUCUCAUUACUCUUGGGCACAUUGAUGUAUUUUGGCUUCCUGGUGAGUUAACCUGUUACCUGACGGUUGAUCUGAGUAUUAUGGAUGUUUUAUUGGUUCAUGGGUUACUUGGGUGUUUGGUUUAUGUUGGUUUUAAUGAUUUGUUAAAAUGGUUACAGGCUCCAAGUUAUUGUUGUAAGCUGGAGUAAUGGGUUGGGUUCUGAUAUCUUCAGUCUUCUUUCAUUCUACUCUCCUGAGCUCUGCAUCUUCAUCACAUGAGUGUUGCUUCUCUGAUGGGGGUGUGGUCUGAGUGAGCAGAGGUGCAUACUGGGAAACAGAGCUGUCUGAAGUCUACAGGUCUGUAGACACGCCCCCUCAGGGGAAACCGAGUGUUUGAAAAACUGUCGUGACGUCAGUUACAUGGACUGGAAUGUUCUUAAAGAUGGAGACGGAUUCAGAAGGAGAAACGCCAGGGGGAGAUGAGGGGGCUCCUAAUUUCAACGACUAAACACAACUUCAGUCUGACACAGAACCAUGGAACACAUUCAACAGUCCCCUCCAGGCAUCGUGACUCCUCAGGAACAGAUUCAUAUCCAAGAAGUUCUUAUUUGGGGCCAUCCCCAUAUGGAUCCUGCUCCUCAAGAGCCACCCCCCUCCACUGGUUGGUCUUCUGAACAGAUGACCUCCUUCCUGUCCGCAGGCUGACUAAAGCUGCACCGUUUGCAUCUGGGAAGGCCCCUCAUUCAGGAAACUACUGGACUACAAAGACAUGACUUCAGAAAUGUUGAAUCAACCUGGGACACAUUUUGGAGACGCCAAGCAUAAUCCAUCAUCAAUGUGGGACGCCACUGAAGAAUGUUGUACAUCAUUUACGUCUCUGGCGACAUUGGUUGUUCUGUUAUGGGUUAUGGUUCCCCCCCCCCAGAGCUGGGGGGGGGGGGGGGGUGAUGGAAUUUUAUUUGGCAUGAGGUUUUUACCCUGCAUGAUUGUUUGGCCUUUUAUGGCUCUGUGGUGUGUUGUGUUUGGGUUUGACGUGUGUGUGUGUGUGUGUGUGUGUGUGUGUGUGUGUGUGUGUGUGUGUGUGUGUGUGUGUGUGUGUGUGUGUGUGUGUGUGUGUGUGUGUGUGUGUGUGUGUGUGUGUGUGUGUGUGGCUUGCUUUGACAGUGAUAAUGUUCAUAUGGGGGUCUGUGUGAUUGGGUUGGGAUAUUGGAAUGGUCAACUAAAUCAUACCUGAUGGACGGCCACAUGUUUACUUAAGGGCCUCCAGUAGACAUGAAGAGCCCUGAGCGACGCUCCGGAGCGAUAUCCAACACACUGGGCAGGAAGGAGAGUAUCCAACUCACAUGUAAAAGGAUGCAAGUGACGUGUUCAGAUCAGUGACUUCAAACUAGGACUACAACAAUCAGGAUCAAUGGAGGAUGGACACCAAAAGGAAUUCCACAAGGAGAGUCUGACGUUGGAAAGGGACCUAAAUGGAUAUUCAAGAUGACCUUCAGACCUGUAAUGAGACGGCUCUUCCUACCUGGCUGGAUUGAUGGAGAGCCCUGUGGAUCUUGUCUUGCUCUCAGUUGCACGUCUUCUCAGGCUGAACUGUAUUUGUUUCGGACAGGACUAGCUGAACGAUUGGUUCCCUUGAAUCAGAACCAAUCCGGGAACUCCAGCUAGUGCGCUCUUCGAGCUGAAGUUGUGCUCUUCAGCUGAGGAGGUAAGGAAACCUUCACUGGGGCUUCAAGGUGUAAAGAGGAGAAUGUUUCAUGUGUUCCAUGGUACUCUGAUGAAGACCGUUGUUGUGUUCCACUGGCUGAGAGGAAGAACCCACACAUUCCUCUUGGCCUUUCUCCUCUGAGAAUCCUGGCGCCAUCUUGAAGGAUAUUCCAGCUCAUGUAACUGAUGUCACGACAGAUUCUCAAACACUUGGUUUCUCCUGAGGGGCGUGUCUAUGGAACUGAAGACUUCAGACAGCACUGUAUCCCAGCAUACAUCUCUGCUCACUCAGACCACACCCCCAUGAGUAGGAUGCAACACUCUAGUGAUGGAGAUGUAGAGUUUUAUAAGUAACGAGGGAGCAGACUAAGGUGAUUAGACUGUAAAUCUUUAAACCAUGAAGAUGGUUCGAUAGUUCAGGAAUUGGGCUUCUUUUUACUAUGGGCAGUCCUUUCACUCAGAUGCCCACUUCUCACUGGAGCUGUACAUGUGUUGGCUGGCUGGCAUGGUUUGCUGUUGGUGAUGAGGCGGUCAGGGUGACGUUGCAGGGCUAUGGUCGGCUCUCUGUGAGCUCAACGUUUAGAUUUGCUCUGUAUGGUUUGUACCCUGAAUAAUCUAGAUAAUUGUAAAAUGUAGACAGUUUUGUAUUGAAUGAUUUUAGGUUUAAAGUUGUUGUGGGACGUACAUGGUAGUUUGGUUCUUCGUAUGGUUUUGAGUGAUAUAACUUGUACACACUGGGUGCAUAAUAAUGUAAAGGUACAUUUAAUAGUAUUAAUGACCAACAGCAACAAACAGAUCUCCUCAAGGUAAGUCUGUUGGCUGUGUUUUAAUGAAGACCAUCGCUGGACUUCAGGAUCUUCCUCCGUUCAGCUCAAGGUGAGGCGCUGGUUCUGUUUUUCUUUGGUUGGUUCCGGCCGGAAUGUUCGGAUUCCAGUCAGACGGUUUGUGCUUCCCGCCGUGGAAGGUUCUGAGUGCGGUCACUUCAUUUAGUCUGAAUGGUUAGCAUAGAACGUUGUAGUCUGGACAACCAUAAGAAACCACCUGGCAGUUAGUUGGACGGGACUCCCCUGAGGGAAUAUGGAGGAACGUUCUGGAUUGUAUUUGAGUAACCUCGAGCCGUUGCCAACGGAAACAAUUUUUCAGUCGGUUUCCAUUGGGAACUUAAGUUUGAUAUUAAAUACUUACUGACAAGUACGUCGUACAAUAUGUUGAUAAUUUCCGAUCGUUGCGCCGUACUUUUACCCACGAUGACGUGACGGGACUCUCACUGCGUACAAUACAGCGUUCUACUUGCGGGCCCAUUUGACAUCACGGAAGGCUGAAAAUCAUUUCAAGGUGGAAGAUAAUUUGACGUUUCUUCAACGGAACCCAGCACCUGAAUAUGGCUGAGUAUAUUUGAUUUAAUAUCGAUACUGCUUAGUGUUCUUUGUUACUUCAGCUUUUGUACGUUCUAAAUAUCUGCCGUCAUUAAUUCCCACAGAAGUUAAACCCUAGCCAAUGGAAUGACGUUGAACAACGACUUUGGUGCAGAGUUACCAACUGGAUAAUAUCAAAGCUAAAAUAAUGGCCGUCAUUCCCACAUGUUACAGUAGAAGAUACUCUGUACAAGGUUAAAAAGGUAACAUGUAGUUUGUCCCAAGGUGUUUGCCUCCUCACCCAGAGCAAGACCUCCACCUCCUCACCCAGAGCCAGACCUCCACCUCCUCACCCAGAGCCAGACCUCCACCUCCUCACCCAGAGCCAGACCUCCACCUCCUAUCAGAAGUCUUCCAGAACAGCUUAAAGGCGAGUCUGAGAGGCUGGGGACCAGAGGCUUGUGGUGCCAGGGUGGACCGGAGACUAAGGCUGGAGACCAGGGGCCUGCAGCAUUGGACCAGAGGAUCAGGAAUCCAUGGCUGGAGGAGCUGUGCUGAAGGCCCUGCCUUGUGGAGGAGCUGGUGGAGGCCCUGCCUGGUGAAGGACGUCUGUCGUGGGACCAGGACUCUGUCUGAGGAGAGCUGCUGGAGGAGCUGAGACGCUGGAGGACGACUUUGAAUCGACCAACAAGGAUUCCUCAACGUGUUUCUGGCUGAGGAGAGCUGAUUGAGGAGCCAAGACUCUGGAGGACGACAUCACUCCACCAACCAGGAUCCUCAGACAAAUUACGUUUGCAACCAGACCAGGAAUCUGGAGAACUGAUGGAGAAGCCAUACAUCUGGAAGGCAAAUCCUGAGGACCACCAGGACUCUACCAUCAAGGAUUCCUCAUAAAUGUGCAUUAUCUGGACAUAGUGGACUAGACACACCUGAACUGAACUGAACCUGAUCCUGUUUGGUCGGGGGUAGACACACCUGAGCUAAACCCGCCCUGAUCCUGACAUCCUGCUGGUCCCGUCUCCUCAGUUCAUCUGAGCCUCGUCCUCCAGAAGACCUGCUGAGCUCAGCAGUCUGAGGCUGAUGGAUCAAUGACCUCCAGUGGGAGUGAUCUUCUUGACCCCACAUGUAACCGUGUGCUUCCACACGCCUUUCCCUCACGUCUGUCACUAACCUCACUACUCACUACUCUCUACUGCUUCCUCUUUUCUUCCUUCUCUGUGGUUCAAACCUUUACACUGAAGGCGCGUCUUCCUGCCCUCAGAGGGUUUAGCGUUAGGGUUGAGAGUCAGGGUUUAGAGGCAGGGACAGAGCUGGUCAGGGAGGACUGCUUUUACACCAACCUCUUCACUUGCUUUCGGAAUGGUGGUGACAUUUUGAAAAGAUUCAUUUGGGAAAAUGUUUUCCUCUGCUUUCCUUUACAAAAUUGUAUUAAACUUCUGUCAAGUGUUUUUGUUCAUAUAUUAAAAUCCCACAUUGAC